rnacentral:rRNA from 1 species
UGGGGAAUAUUGGACAAUGGGCGAAAGCCUGAUCCAGCCAUGCCGCGUGUGUGAAGAAGGUCUUCGGAUUGUAAAGCACUUUAAGUUGGGAGGAAGGGCAGUAAAUUAAUACUUUGCUGUUUUGACGUUACCGACAGAAUAAGCACCGGCUAACUCUGUGCCAGCAGCCGCGGUAAUACAGAGGGUGCAAGCGUUAAUCGGAAUUACUGGGCGUAAAGCGCGCGUAGGUGGUUCGUUAAGUUGGAUGUGAAAUCCCCGGGCUCAACCUGGGAACUGCAUUCAAAACUGA